rnacentral:lncRNA from 1 species
UUGGCUAAACUUUUUCACUCUUCCAUGGAUUUAAGUCUGGCUAUUCUUUUGGUGGAUAGCUUUGCGUAUGAGUCUAAACUUUUUAUCUUUGGCAGGCUGUUCUUUCUUCAAUCAAGAGGAAUCAUGAUCAGAAUUAACUAACAACAGUAUUUUUUCUCUCAAUAUUGUAUAAUAAGAUUUUCCAAUAAAUUAUAAAAUAAAUUUUAUUUUCCCAAGAAAUUAUUGAACUUUUCUUUUUCGACUGC